rnacentral:rRNA from 1 species
AACGAACGCUGGCGGCAUGCCUAACACAUGCAAGUCGAACGAGACCUUCGGGUCUAGUGGCGCACGGGUGCGUAACGCGUGGGAACCUGCCCUUAGGUUCGGAAUAACUCCCCGAAAGGGGGGCUAAUACCGGAUAAUGUCUUCGGACCAAAGAUUUAUCGCCUUUGGAUGGGCCCGCGUUGGAUUCGCUAGUUGGUAGGGUCAAAGCCUACCAAGGCGACGAUCCAUAGCUGGUCUGAGAGGAUGAUCAGCCACACUGGGACUGAGACACGGCCCAGACUCCUACGGGAGGCAGCAGUGGGGAAUAUUGGACAAUGGGCGAAAGCCUGAUCCAGCAAUGCCGCGUGAGUGAUGAAGGCCUUAGGGUUGUAAAGCUCUUUUACCCGGGAUGAUAAUGACAGUACCGGGAGAAUAAGCUCCGGCUAACUCCGUG